GUGAGGAAUAUUGGUCAAUGGGCGCAGGCCUGAACCAGCCAAGUAGCGUGAAGGAUGACUGCCCUAUGGGUUGUAAACUUCUUUUAUAAAGGAAUAAAGUCGGGUAUGUAUACCCGUUUGCAUGUACUUUAUGAAUAAGGAUCGGCUAACUCCGUGCCAACAGCCGCGGUAAUACGGAGGAUCCGAGCGUUAUCCGGAUUUAUUGGGUUUAAAGGGAGCGUAGAUGGAUGUUUAAGUCAGUUGUGAAAGUUUGCGGCUCAACCGUAAAAUUGCAGUUGAUACUGGAUAUCUUGAGUGCAGUUGAGGCAGGCGGAAUUCGUGGUGUAGCGGUGAAAUGCUUAGAUAUCACGAAGAACUCCGAUUGCGAAGGCAGCCUGCUAAGCUGCAACUGACAUUGAGGCUCGAAAGUGUGGGUAUCAAACAGGAUUAGAAACCCUGGUAGUCC
rnacentral:rRNA from 1 species